rnacentral:rRNA from 2 species
UGAACGCUGGCGGCGUGCCUAACACAUGCAAGUCGAACGGAGAUUAUUCGCUGCGGAGCCUUCGGGCGAAGCUUGAAAUGAUCUUAGUGGGCGGGACGGGGUGAGUAACGCGUGGGCAACCUGCCUUGCACAGGGGGAUAGCAGUUGGAAACGACUGGUAAUACCGCAUAUCUUAGAGAGACCGCAUGAUCUUUUUAAGAAAACGUUAGUGGUGCAAGAUGGGCCCGCGUCCGAUUAGAUAGUUGGUGGGGUAACGGCCUACCCAAGUCGACGAUCGGUAGCCGACCUAAGAGGGCGGACGGCCACAUUGGGACUGAGACACGGCCCAGACUCCUACGGGAGGCAGCAGUGGGGGAAUAUUGCACAAUGGAGGGAACUCUGAUGCAGCGACGCCGCGUGAGUGAAGAAGUAUUUCGGUAUGUAAAGCUCUAUCAGUAGGGAAGAUAAUGACGGUACCUACAUAAGAAGCCCCGGCUAAAUACGUGCCAGCAGCCGCGGUAAU